UGAGGAAUAUUGGGCAAUGCCCGCAAGGGUGACCCAGCAACGCCGCGUGGAGGAUGAAUGUCGUAAGAUUGUAAACUCCUGUUAGAGGGGAAGAAUAGUACCGGUUGGACCGGUAUAUGACUGUACCCUCAGAGAAAGCCCCGGCUAACUACGUGCCAGCAGCCGCGGUAAUACGUAGGGGGCAAGCGUUGUCCGGAUUUACUGGGUGUAAAAGGCGCGCAGGCGGGAUAAAAAGUCAGUGGUGAAAUCCUACAGCUUAACUGUAGAACUGCCUUUGAUACUUUUAUUCUUGAGUUCGGGAGAGAGAGACGGAAUUCCAGGUGUAGUGGUGAAAUACGUAGAUAUCUGGAAGAACACCAGUUGCGAAGGCGGUCUCUUGGUCCGACACUGACGCUGAGGCGCGAAAGCGUGGGGAGCAAACA
rnacentral:rRNA from 1 species